ensembl:lncRNA
CCUGAGGAGGAGAGAGCGUGUUCCCGAGCGGAGAGAGCCUGGCAGGGCGCGCUGCGCUGGGGCCGCGCUGCUCCGGCAGCCGGACCGAGGGGCUGGCAGCCGGACCGAGGCGGUGUCGGCCGAACCGAGGGGCUGGCAGCCGGACCGAGAGGCUGGCAGCCGGACCGAGGGGCUGGCAGCCGGACCGAGGCGGUGCCGGCCGGACCGAGGGGCUGGCAGCCGGACCGAGGCGGUGCCGGCCGGACCGAGGCGCUGGCAGCCAGACCGAGGGGCUGGCAGCCGGACCGAGGCGGUGUCGGCCGAACCGAGGGGCUGGCAGCACGNCGGACCGAGGCGGUGUCGGCCGGACCGAGGCGGUGCCGGCCGAACCGAGGGGCUGGCAGCCGGACCGAGGGGCUGGCAGCCGGACCGAGGCGGUGCCGGCCGAACCGAGGCGCUGGCAGACGGACCGAGGCGCUGGCAGCCGGACCGAGGCGCUGGCAGCACGGCAUCUCCCCCAGCCCGGAGAGCUUUGGGACAGCUGCCUUCCUGCGGGACAGGCGCUCACUGCGCUGGAAUUCGCCGGGACAGACGGCAGAGGGCACGAGUGAAUGCCUUAAGCAUCGGGGCUUGCUUUCGAAGGGAACCUGUAUUUCCCUGGUGCACAGUAAGAGGUACACGGUGCUGCCCCAGCGGCUUCCAGGAGGAUUUCAUCACACUGACACAGGACAGGGGGGUGCUGUUUGUGCUGCCAAGUGUGAGGGACAUCUUCAUCCCCCACUCUCUGUCCUGAGUGUGUCAGAAAUUCAAAGCCUUGGUAUAAUCUGGCUGCAACCCUGAAGAGCCAGCAUCUCAGGCGUGGAGAGGAGUAUCCAGCCAUGUUUGAUGCCCCCCUGAAAGUCAGUGGCUGCAAAUUCCCCCUGCCUUGCACCCAAGGUGUUGGAAGUCACGCUCCUGGGCUCCCACAUCUCAAAGGACAACAUGUGGACCCUGUUUAUGUGCUUGUCUUGACUUAAGCAGGUAUUUGCUCUGGGGGAUUACUCUGGCAAGUCCUGUCUGUCCUCCUCUAAACCUGGACAGCACCACUCUUAGCUCUCAGGUGAGAGAGCCAAUUUGUAACUUUAUGAUUUCCUUCCUCUACAAGGUCAUGUUCAAACUCUUUUGUUGUGAGGGACAUUUAUUUUUCCCCAAGUUCCUCCUGUACUCAAAGAAGAAAACACUUGUGUUUUCUGUGAUCAUAGCCAAAUGUCACAAUUGCAUCUGCUGCCUUUUUCUGCAAGAUCUUGCCAGUACUCCUGCAUUUAACUUCAGGUAAUGGCCUCAUGCAGUAUUUAUAGAUGAUAAUGUCACAUUUUUUAAAAUAAUGUAGUUUAAAAUGUCUGGAAAUUUAAUAGUUACACUUCCCACCAUGGAAAGCACAUUUGCAGAAAAACUAAUUGUUACCAAUAGCUCUAAUUGCCAGCCUUGAUCAUUAAACUUUGCCUUGGGUCAGCCUUUCACUCUGCCUGAUUAUUAUGUACAGAUUAAGAGGUUGUUGCUGGCAUUACCUUUGGACUCAUGAGGCAUCACUGUUCCCAAAUACUGAGCGCUUUAUCUGAGUGAGCUUCAGCAGCAGAGCACUUUUCUUAAAACUUUCAUUAGUGACCAACUUUCAGAGGGGCUGAGGGCUGUAAUCAGAUUAUUGCUUCCCGCUGGAUGCAGAGGAUACAGGCUUCUGCUUGUCUCACACUGCGGCCAGGCCCCUCCCUGCUCCCUUCAACAGCUGAGGAAUUGUUGGAUUCUGGUCUGGGGGCCGUGUCCUUUUGUGCUGGGAGGGCUCGCAUUCCCUCGUGCUCUCCCUACUGGAAUGCUCGGUGGAACAUUUUAAGCUUUGGAAGUGUUCUUUUCUGAGCUCAGCACGCAUUUUAAUUCUGCGCUGCCGGCCAGGAUUGAUGUAUGUGAGAGGAGAGAGCUUUAAAACGCCUUUGGAUGUGGUUUCCUAAAAGCUUAUUUAGUGUGUGAAUUGUUAAAAAAAUAAAGAAAGAAAAGGAAAUGUGUGUAUCA